AAAAUCCGAAUUCUAUUUGCUGAAAGUAUCUAUCUACACACUCUUUUAAAAAUAAAUAUAAAGUAUAAGACGUUAGCUUGUUGUAGUUGCUCUUGUGAAGUUACAUGUAGGAGAUUAAGGAUUUGUAACAAUCGAUUUUUAAAUGUCUUUUACAUGUAAAGUGAUUCGAGUGUUAUAUUGUACAGUGCAUGUAGAGAAUAAUAAUAUGGAACAUUUAUCUUUUAAUAAAAAAAAUUUAUUGAAUAAAAAACAAAAAACAAAAAGGAGGGGACUUAAAACGAAGAGGGGACUUAAAACGUAACCCAUAAAAAAAACUAGUAAAAAUAAUUGUUGAACUCGCUC
rnacentral:lncRNA from 1 species